ACUCAGUUUGCUGAUCCCUUGGGCCGGCUCUGACAGUAAUCUGUAGUUAUAAGCGUUGGUAAAUAAAUUAGAUGGAAAGUGACUUAAAGGUAGAUUUAAUUACAUCUUGUUGGUACUAGCACUCCCUUCAUCCAGCCUCCUUUUCCCGGCAGGAGGAGCGCUUCUCUCUGGAUCAUCCUCUGCACUGUCUGGAUGGCUGCGCACGACCCCGCCCGCUCCCGUGACGCAGCGCAUCUCUUUACGCGCAGAUGCUGGAGUCGAAGCGACAGGCGCGCACAUCUCUUAGGGGCUGAGCGCAUCCACUACCGGACACGGUAGAGGGAAGAUCAGCCGGUGUGCAUCCGACAGGGACCCCCCGGACCGCGGGGUAGGAUGCUCAGAACGAGUCGCUCCGUGGGCAGCAGUACUUGAAGAGCUGCGGUCCAUCCACUGGAGCGCUUUAAGACUGAUCUCGAAUCAAUUCCUUUUUAAGAAACGCCACCGUCCAGUUUAGUAUCUAGAACCUUGAGGGUAGAUCGGGGUUUGGCUUGGACACGAUGUGGAAGUCCGGGACACUACUGCUACUGUCGGUGCUGUGGGCGUCCGGUGAACUCCAGCAGGAGACAGAGCCGCGGAGACUACCACCUCCGGGAAAGUUGGAUUUUGGUUAUGUGCCUGCGGGAGUUUACGAGACACUGGCCCAUUACGAACCCGGACCCAUAGGGAUCCUCUUCCACUUGGUGCACGCUUUUCUGCAUGCGGUGCAACCCAACGCUUUCCCCCACGAUCUUAUUGUGAAGCUGGCAAAGGACAAGUUUGGAGCCAUUCAAACAGAAUAUCAAAAGCCAGAGAACAUAGUGCUGACCCUGCAGGCCAUCUACUAUGAGAUAGGCUUCCUCAUAUGUGCGGCGGUGGGCCUGCUCUUCGCCGUCCUCAUGCCGGUUGUGGGGCUCUUCUUCUGCAUGUGCCGCUGCUGCGACAACUGCGGCGGUGAGAUGCACCAACGCCAGAGGAAGAACGCGGACUGCCGGCGCGGCCUGCUGGGAACGUUACUCUUCUCCACCUCGCUGGUUAUCACGAUUGGAGUUCUGUGUGCGUAUGCAGCCAACCAGAACCUGAGCUCUCAGGUGAAGAACAUACGCCGGCUGGUUAACAGCAACAUGAGGGACCUGCACACCUUUGCUAAUGACACACCGAUGCAAAUUGAUUACCUAAUAUCCCAAUACGCCACCGUCAAGAACAAAGUCAACUAUGACCUAGAUAACAUAGGUCCGUUACUCGGGGGAAGGAUCCAUGUACGGUUGGAUAAAGAAGUCCAUCCUGCUUUAAACCAAGUGCUUAAUAUGGCUGGAGUGAAAAUCCAGAGAGCCAUCAAAGCCAUGAGGGAAACCAAGGAGGCCCUGGAGAACGUCAGCGUGUCUCUGGUGGUCUUACAGGAAGGAGCCGGAAAACUUCAUUUCAACUUGAGCCAAGUCCGCGACAGCAUCAACCGCACCCUUGAUGACCCCGGCUGCCAUGACGAGGAAUCGGACGCCACCACGGCCCAGCUUUGCCGCAGCAUCCGCCAGUCCCUGUCCCAGCUGCAGAUGAGUGCAAACUUCACCCGGCUUCCUAAUGUGAACCCUCAGCUGGAAAAGAUGAAAAAUGUAGUGAAAACAGAUCUCAGCUCUGUCGUCCACAGGGGUUUUUCCUCUUUGAAUGACACACCGCACAUUGUGAUUGAACAGACAAGAACCGUCGUCAACAGUGUCCAGAAUUUAGUGGACAGUGUCGGCAACAACAUCAGCAGCUUCUCCAGAGCUUUCCCAUUGCAGACCUGCUUGUCUAACUUCACCAUCUUCAUCAGCCAUGCACACGCCAAAAUCGAAGACUACUAUCCUGAAAUUGACAAAAUGGACUUCUACAGAUGGAUCGGCUGCAUCGCUCUGUGCUGCAUGGUGGUUCUGGUCUUGGCCUUUAACUACUUGGGCCUUCUGUGCGGCACCCUGGGAUACGACAAGCAUGCCUCACCGACGACCCGAGGAUGUAUCUCCAAUACAGGAGGAACACUGCUGAUGGCCGGUGUUGGAUUCAGCUUCAUUUUCUCCUGGAUGCUUAUGGGAGUGUUGACCACCAUCUUUCUGGCAGGAGGAAACAUGGAGAAACUUCUCUGUGAGCCAUUUCACACCAAAGAACUCUUCAAGGUCGUUGACACCCCAUACUUGAUCAACCCAGAGUGGAAGAAUUUCAUCCCAGGCUACAUGUACAAUGACUCUGAAUUGGAGCUGACAUCGGAAAGCUUGUACAGUACUUGCAAACAGAACAAAGGCAUCUACUCUGCCCUGCGUCUGGAUAAAGUCUUCAACAUCUCCUCGUUCCUGAACACCACAGUGUUCACUAAGGAUGUUGUGCGUCAGCUGGAGAACUUUCGGAUUGACCUGAGAACGAUAAUCCUGUUGGAGGCAGAGGGGAAGCAGAACCUCCUAGAUUUCUCUGAAGCUGGCCUUUCAGAGAUCAACUACGCCGACUACCUUGACGAGGUGAAUAAAGGAGUCACUGUGGUGGAUGUUCUCUCAUUCGCCAAAGAGCUGGAGUCCCAGACAGACCUGAUGCCUAGGGGACCUCUGCAGACAGCUCUGAAAGGCCAUGUGGCCACUCUGCAGCGGAUCCACAGACAACAGAUCGCUCCAAUGGAGCAGGCCAUGAAAUAUGUUAGAGCAAGGAGUGCAUUGAACCAGAGUAUGAGAUUCCUGGAGAGGACAGCUUCUGACCUCCCGAACAAAGUCACAGAUGUUCUUGAGGCCAUUGCAGCUGCUCAGCACCUCAUCUCCCAGAAUGCAACACUUUUAAUCAGUCAGGAAACAAGAAAAUACUCAGCAACCAUUAUUGGCUAUUUCAAUCAGUACAUAGAAUGGGUCAAAACAUCAUUGGCUUUGGAGGUUGCACCAUGCAAGCCCUUCAGCAACAUCUUGGAUACGGCGCAGAUCAUGACCUGCAGUUUCCUGGGGGAUUCUAUGAACACUUUCUGGAUGGGUCUGGGCUGCAGCACACUAUUCCUGCUCCCAAGCGUAAUACUAGCUGUGAAACUAGCCAAGUACUACCGCAGGAUGGACACAGAGGAUGUUUAUGAUGACUCCUCUGUUUCUGGGACUUGGCAUUUUACUUUGUGAUAACCAUUCCUACUAUUUCCAUCUUCCAUAUUUUUUAUUUUAUUUCUUCAUUCUUCUUUGUCAAGCACUUGGCACUUUACAAAGAAAAGACACUGAUAAAUUAGUCAAUUCUUUUUUCUUCCUCAUGGGCCUUUGUCAUGCUCAGAUUCUGUGGACUCAUGGCUUUAUCUACAGUAGUUGUAAUUGUAAUAUCUCAGCUGAUCAACUGCAUCUCCCUCUGUGCAAUCCCUGCUGGGUUGCACAGAAGGAUUCAUGAUGCAUUUCUUUUGCUGACCAUCUCAAUAACAUUUUUAUGUUCCUGUUUUCUGUGUAUCUCCAUAGCGUUGAGACAAUUCCCAUGAAAAAGUAAGACGCUCUUCCCCAACCUCCUUUUCAUUUUAACUUCUCUCACUCUGUGCUUUUUUUUCCAAGUAAUGUAUAUAGAAAGCUGUUUACUAAAUUCUUGGUGCUCGUUUGCAUUUUUGAGCUUCAAAAUUGCUCAUGUGGGUGGACAAUGUGGCUUUUUGUCAUGUGCUAUGUUUAAGAAGUGCCCCUUACAGUACCUUUCAUGAAGGGCUCAUGCAAUCAUUAAAGUGUUUUUUGUAAAAAAAAAAAAUAAAUAAAAUAAAUAAAUGUGUAAAUAAAACACUAAGGUUUAUACUCGGAACAUAUUCAUCUCCUGAUAUCGUUUAAAGAUUUAACCACAUAUAAAAGAAACAUUUUUAUUCAGCAUGUCGCGUUUCUCAUUUUUCAUUCCAUUUUUGUUCUCAAUGUUUUAUUUUCAGUAUGGAAAUUGUUAAUAAUGGUUAUCAUAGUGAGAGUUCACAAGGUAUUCCUAAUCCUAUGAUGACAAGGUAAACUUUCCCUUUAUCCUGCUGACUGCAUGCAUGGUGGAGGUGGAUGCAUGCCUGGGAAGUUGGUUUUAUAUAUAGUAUGGCUGAACACAUUGCAUGCUCACUGAGGGAGUCAUUUCAAGACACACACACGCAUAAGUGUGUGUGAUAUGGUAGCAAAUCUUUAAACUGGCAAGUAGUGGUAGCUUUUAUUAGAAACAAUCCGGAAUCAACGUUUUGGUACUUAUGAUAAAAAAUGCUUUAAAAUGAAUUUCAGCAGUGGUUUAGCAUUUGGUGUUUGUUGUUGAGCAUCAGAUCGUAGCCCUACUGUUUUCUUUGAGGCUGAGAUAUGGAGCGGAAUAAAGAUCGAUUUGGGUUAAUCAACUUGAAGACUGGGGAUUAUUGGAAAACAAAUACUAAUAAAGGUUUGUCAUAGAGAGUAUCUAAAGCUAAUACGCAUAACUCACAAUCAACAUUUUAAAUAUCACAACUUAAAGGAACGUAGUUGCAAUUUAUAUUUACUUAAAAUACUUGCUUAUCUGCAGGUGAGUGUUAGAAAAAUAAGAGCUGGAACAUCUUGAUGGAGAAAAAGAAGGAGCACAUACCUAUAACUAUAAACAAUAAAACUAAACCCUCACUUAAACUCUCUUUCAUCAAAGAGAAAUUAGGGUUUCAAAUCCCAAUAAUCAGUCUGAUCUUCCACCUUCUAACAAUCAUAGGAGCCUUGAGGCUGAUGAAUCUCUCUGCUACCACUACUUCACUGUCAUGUUGUAAAUGUUUUGCUUGGUGGUUUUGAGGGAAUCUACCGUAUUACUAACCAACUGCUUUCUUUCUGACGCUGGGAAAUUCCUGUGGAAUGAAAUGAAAUCUUCUCCUGUUUCCUCUCGUUUAGUGUCGGCCAAAGUCCGAUGAAUGUACACCUGAUCAUUUUGUUCAGAGAGAGGCAAGCAUGCUGAGCUUUAGUGUGUCCCUGGAUAUGUUGCUACUUUUGAUUUUCUUUUCUGAAUCUAACCAGAUGCUUAACUGCGUGUUUUAUCUCUUUAAGUUGCAUUUGGACGCAGAUGAGUUUGCAUCUUGAACCAACAAGAUAAACACAGAGAGUAAAACAUCUAAAUGAGGAGUUGCUCUGCUCUGACUUGUUGCAGUUUGAAAAAAUAGGAGUUUGAUUUCCAGUUUGAACUUGCAAAAUUAAUACGACUUUUUAUUAAACCUUAUCUUUCUAUUUGAGUUGCAUUAAGCUUUUGGAAUGUAUUACAUAAUUUAAAACCUGUUCUAAUUGAUCAACACUAAACUACUCUGUUUGCACAGUAAGAUACUCAGAUAAUGUUUUGCUCUCUGUUGUAAGAACUGCUCACCCUUCUCCUCUUGGAUGUAAAAAUGUUGAGUCUGUCUGGUAACGUUUUUCCCUGUGUGUGCGUGUUUGUUCCUGUGAUGGUAGCAUCCCAACAUAUGACACAAUGAACAGGUUUCCACGGGCCUCGGCUCCUCCGAGGCACAUCGACUGGUGAGAGUCAGCUCUGGCUUGGCUCCUGAAAGGUACUGGUAACACAAAACGACGACUCUGACUCUCUAACACCGAUUUCCUCACACCUCUCCUCACAGCUGUCCUGCUGAGUCAGCGAUCAUCUCUUUUAAAUCUUAUACUGCUAAUGUGCUAACACUCUUAACACCUGUUCACAGCUUGUUUUAGUGCUUUUUCUGCUUGCUGAAAAACCAACAUGGUGAGAAUGACUAAAUUUACUGUAGAUGCUCGUGACUCUCAGUGUUUUAGAGAGAAGAAACCUUCAAUUUAUAUUUAGGAUAGUAUCAUUCAGUUUUAAAAAUGUUCUCUAACGUGUCUACUAGCCUCUUGUGAGUGGUUGUGUUCAGUUAGCUCGUGAGAGAAGUGAAACCCUUUUAUGUGUAGUUAUCUCCUCCUUACAGCACCCUCCACAUUGAAUAAAACCACUGGAAAAGUUGUGUAAUGCCUUAAAAAAUAGUAUUUUAUUGUAGUAUGUCUUACAGCAGCAUCAUCUCACAAUGACAAUAAAAUAAAUAAAUAAAAUAAAAAAUCCAACCUUUAAAUUGAGCACAUUUAGUCAGAAAGGAAUGCUGCAGCAUUGUUGUUUUGUUUUAGAUUAUUGCAACAUGUCUUCAGAAGGGAAAACAAUGUAUUAGUUUCCACUGGUGUUGAAAGAAUUAUUUGGUGAAAUUAAGAUUUGACUAUUUCUGAAUUUUGUGAAGAUCUCUGCAGUCUCAGAAUGACUGCAGGCCUACAUUACACAUUUUCUUUAGAAUAUAAGAAACUGCAAUAAAAACUUAACUUAUUUUGGGGAUAUUUAUGUUGUGAAAUAUUUUCUUGCAUUGUGAUAUCUAAAGUGUCUUUCUCUGCUCUUUGCCCUUGUAGUGCCCUUGACAACUGGAACUAAACGUCAUGCUCACUUGAGGAAUCUCAACAUGGUUUCUUCACUUCAAAAGAAGAACACGGGACGUCCUGCUUGUUCAAUGAUGCAGAUCAAAUCCUCCAGUUUGGUUUCUGCCGGCAGGACGCCAACCUCAUCAGUCCUCAGCAUUAAUCUGAGCCAGGUUUCAUCUACAUUUUCCAGGACUGCUGUGUCUGUGUUUACAUUAGUUUGGACACAAAACCAAGCUGAAAAAGCCCUUGAGAGGACAUAACAUUGACUGUUGUGUUUGCUCAUUUUUAUGAACUUUGUGCUCGAGAAAAGAGAAGCUGGAGAAAGUUAUAUUUUCUUCCUACAGUUAAAAAGGGUGUUGUACUUUCAAAGUGAGUGUCAAAAGGCAGGUUUCAUAAAGAUCUGAUUGUUUUGUUGAAAAAAUACAUCCUUUUUAACUGAGCUCUUGGAUGUGUGAUAUUUUACCUGUUGAGAAAAUUCUUGUGUGAACAGUGGCGUAACGACUUGUGGAGAGAAUUUGUAAGAAAACGAAGCAUGACUUUUUUUUUUUUUAAAGCUGUUUACAAUAUUUCCAGACAUGUUGGUUUUGCAGAGUUUAGGUGGCUAUGGGUCAAUUUCCCUCUUUGACAAUUCAUAACCUCAUUCAAAUGUUGCCAUUUUGUCCCCAAAUUCUUCAGUUUCUUACCUGUAAAACACACUACUUGUAUCCUUUUGUUCAAAUCUCAGGAAUAGUUCAAUAACAAAGAUAAAAUUUUAUUUCUUAAAAAAAUUAUAUUGUACCCUUUUUUCAUUGGUUUUGACUCUGAUAUCUGUUUGGACCUGUCCCAUUGGAGUCACAUGGCAAAAAAGUUUUGUACAGUAGAAGCAAAAUACCAAAAAUGACUUUAGCUCAACGGUAAAAUUAGAUAUGAAAUGCCCUCUGACUGAAGUUUGGUAUGCAACUUCCAAUGACAGAUGUUGCAUACCAACAGUUGUUGUUGUUGUUGGCAUGCAGCAACUAUUCAGCGUGAAAAAGGCAACACUGGAAAAGUAUGAAAUGGCAAAGGGGCAACGUGACCCAUCGGUAUGUGAGAAACACUGAAGAGGUCUGUCUGCCUUUGAGAUGUUUUACCAUGACGACGUUACAGUUACAAAAGGCCAUAUCACUAUGUUAAAUAUAAACAAUCUAGGAGCUGACCUCAUUAAAAUGUCCUUCCUGUACCAUUUAAACUUGUGUCAGGUGUUAACAUUUAGCAUUUAUUUGUAAUUCAGAUUGGUACGUUGUUCUAAAUCGCUACUUCUAUUUGGAGUUUUAAAUACCAAAUCAGAAUCAUUUUGAAUAGUGGGUUUAGAAAAAAAAACACUAAUUCUUGAACCAAGGGUUGUUAUGGUAAGAAAGGCCCACCACAACCACACUGUAACACCAAAUGACAAAUUCUUACCAAAUGCAUAGCAGAUGUGUUUUGGUUGAACUAUCAGUUUAAAUAAUACAGUACAGUUGGAGAAUAAUAGUAAAAACAACACCUACUUCUAUUUCCUCUAUAUACCACAUGCAUUUAUUUUCAGGUCUUUCCUGCUUUAUGGUCCUCAUAAUUUUAAAGUGGAAAGUUAAUUCUCAAGCCAAAUCCCAUAUUUUGAAAUAGUCUUUCUGUGGCACACUUUUUGCCCUUUGCCUGCAUUUUCAGUUAAACGGUACUUCUGGUUACAUGGAACUUUUUAAUGUGUUCAUUCAGUAAUUGUUAUAUGUAGAGGUUGAGUGAUAAAUAUGCUGAUAUUGUUACAUCAGGGAGGCCAAUCAACAUAUCCUAUAUCUCAUAUUUCUAUACAGAUGCUUUCUCCAGUGAGAGCUUAGACAAUCCAUUCAUGGCACCAUCAAUCAGAUUGUUGAAAAGAAGUAUUUUUUAUGGUUUGCACACAUCUGGUUUAUGUGAACUGUGAAAAAAAGCAAUACCUGCCUUAGCAUAAACAUUUACCAGGUAAUAGAUUAUAUAAUGUGCAUAUAUGAAGACUAACAAAAGUCAGUUUUUAUGUGAAUCAAAAAAAAUCAGAUUUUUUUUUUUUACUGGUAUAAACUGGUCUAAAUUUAAUACUUUAUCCAUAAUUUUUAUAUUACAUUUGUUUUAUACUUCAACAAAUCCAUUUUAGAUCCAAGUUUGCCAUUGUUUUUAAAAGAGAAAGCCCAUGGGCUUGAAUCAAAACAAACAAAAACAAUGUGUCAGUUCAGAAGUUGCUAAAGUGAAUGCUAACAUUUAAGAACUUUUAAUUAGGUUAUCAUAACAAGGAUUAAAAAUUAACCCAUUUUUGUAGAUUUUUGUGCACAUAUGACUUCUAUAAAGCCAAUAACUGUAAUUUGCAGUAGAAGUACUGAAAAUAUUUGCCAACGGUUUACAAGUUAUGCUCUGCUAGACUGACUUUACAAACUAUUUUCAUUAAUUUUAUUUCUCCAAAGGAAACACUGACUGCCAUGUUAAGAUGUCCCAGCUGUGCUUUUCCACAAUGUGAACUUAUUGGCUCUGUCUCUUCUCAGCGCUCUUUUUUGCUUGCUUCAUUUUCAAACUUAGUUUUCCUCAAGGUGGACAUUUUUAGAUGAUCAGUGUGCUCAUGCUGACUAUCACAGUUUUACUCCUUGCUGGAGUCUGGUAAUGCAUUUAUGGGGACAAAUUCACAACUUAAGUGCUUAAACUAGUUAUAUAUGGUAGCUUUGGGUUGAUCAGAUGAAUGGUUUGAAAUGUGAUGCUGAACAGUUGGGCGAUGAUGGAUCCAGGAAGAUGCUUGUUUUUUAUGUGGAUAUGACAAAAGUGUAUAAAUUGUGAAUAAACUCUCCAUUUCAAGUUA